rnacentral:rRNA from 1 species
CGGACGGGUGAGUAACGCGUGAGAAUUCGCCUUUAGGAGGGGGAUAACAGGGGGAAACACCUGCUAAAACCCCAUAUGCCUUCGGGUCAAAAGAGUAAUCUGCCUAAAGAGAAGCUCGCGGCUGAUUAGCUAGUUGGUGAGGUAAUGGCCUACCAAGGCGACGAUCAGUAGCUGGUCUGAGAGGACGAUCAGCCACACUGGAACUGAGACACGGUCCAGACUCCUACGGGAGGCAGCAGUGAGGAAUUUUCCGCAAUGGGCGAAAGCCUGACGGAGCAAUGCCGCGUGGGGGAACAAGGCUUACUGAGUUGUAAACCUCUGUUACCUAAGAAGGAAGAUCUGACGUUACUUAGGAGAAAGCAUCGGCUAACUCUGUGCCAGCAGCCGCGGUAAGACAGAGGAUGCAAGCGUUAUCCGGAAUCACUGGGCGUAAAGCGUCUGUAGGUGGCUUCUUAAGUCCAAUGUUAAACCUUGAGGCUCAACCUCAAUUCAGCAUUGGAAACUAGGAGACUUGAGUAUAGUAGGGGUAGAGGGAAUUUCCGGUGGAGCGGUGAAAUGCGUAGAUAUUGGAAAGAACACCGAUGGCGAAGGCACUCUGCUGGGCUAUUACUGACACUGAGAGACGAAAGCUAGGGGAGCAAAUGGGAUUAGAUACCCCUGUAGUC